rnacentral:rRNA from 1 species
AGCAGCAGCCGCGGUAAUACGUAGGUGGCAAGCGUUGUCCGGAAUUAUUGGGCGUAAAGGGCUCGCAGGCGGUUUCUUAAGUCUGAUGUGAAAGCCCCCGGCUCAACCGGGGAGGGUCAUUGGAAACUGGGAAACUUGAGUGCAGAAGAGGAGAGUGGAAUUCCACGUGUAGCGGUGAAAUGCGUAGAGAUGUGGAGGAACACCAGUGGCGAAGGCGACUCUCUGGUCUGUAACUGACGCUGAGGAGCGAAAGCGUGGGGAGCGAACAGGAUUAGAUACCCGCGUAGUCCCUGUCUCUUAUAA